rnacentral:rRNA from 1 species
UACGGAGGGUGCAAGCGUUAUCCGGAUUCACUGGGUUUAAAAGGGUGCGUAGGCGGGCAGGUAAGUCCGUGGUGAAAUCUCUGAGCUUAACUCAGAAACUGCCAUGGAUACUAUUUGUCUUGAAUAUUGUUGGAGGUAGCGGAAUAUGUCAUGUAGCGGUGAAAUGCUUAGAUAUGACAUAGAACACCAAUUGCGAAGGCAGCUUACUACACAGUAAUUGACGCUGAGGCACGAAAGCGUGGGGAUCAAACAGG